GGGAGCGCGUCGGGGGCGGCGGCGCGUACGAUCUCAUCCUCACGGACAAGCAGAUGCCGGUCAUGGACGGCCACGAGGCGACGAGGCAGAUCCGGGCGAUGGGGGUGACCACGCCCAUCGUCGCCGUGUCCAGCGACAGCCUCCCGUCGGACGUCCAGGCCUUCACCGCCGCCGGCGCCGACGACUUCACGCCCAAGCCCCUGACGAAGGAGAAGGUGGGCCACAUUCUCUCCAAGUUCGGGCUUGCGUAGCGGCCAUUAACUAGUACGGUACUUAGCUUGGUUCAGGACGCGAACAUGCUUGAUUCCUGCAGAUGACGAGGCACAGGUGCCCUUUCGACGACAGAACAUGAGGUGCCACACUACCUCCCCUGCUUCCCGUACGUAGAUGGAUUAGUGCUAGUAUUAAUAUAUUGUUUCCUCCUUGCUUCGCUGAUAUAUAUAUAUAUAUAUAUAAGUUUUUUGGGGCUUAUUUACGGAUUAAUUUUUCUUUUAGCUAUAAUUGUGGAUUAAUUUUUCUAGCACAAUAUAAUUAUGGAUUAGUGAAUAAUAUCGGUUGGACAUUUUCUUUUGAGAAACAUGUCGUUUGGACUUGUAAAAUCGAAUCCUUGUAUAUGAGCAGCUACUGGCAUUA